GGGGGGGGGGUCAAAAGUAAAAAUUUCCCAGUAGUUUUCAAAAACGACGUGAAAAACAAAAAAAAAUUAAGGAAAAACUGGAAUUUUUAUGCAAAAUCUGUUUUUGAGAAAAUCGAUUUUGGUUUUUGGUGUAACUCUAAAACAAAUGACCGUAGAGACAUGAAAUUUUGACUGAAUGUUUAUAUUUGCAUUUUCUAUACACCAUACAUUUUUGACUCUUUUUGAGCUGCUUACGGACAUUGUCAUUUUCAAUUUUUUUAGUUUUUUUUUCUAUAAAUAUCAAUAAAAUUUUAUCUGUUGAGUAAAAAAGCUUGAAAAUUUAAUAGAAGGCUCCUAGGUCAUUGUUUCAAAGGCAGAUGAAAAAAAUUAAAAAUCCUUAGUCACAGUUUUUAUUUAUAAGCAUUUAAAGUUCAAAUGUUGACAAAAUACGGAAAACUCACGAAAAUUAGCAAAUUAUUUUGAGUAGGUCCAUUUCAUUGGCCCCCCCCACUUUCGAAAUUUGAACUUCUGACCACGCUAAACGUUUGUGCAUCGUUUGUGCAGAAAUGUGCACCAAGUCCAAUCGUUUGUGCACAAAAACUGAAAGCUCUAUCCCUAAAACAAAAUGAGGGGCCAUUGAAACGGUAGCCCCCCCCCACAUUGAAUAUUUGGAUUUUUGAAUGUGCCAAACGUUUAUGCACCGUUUGUGCAGAAAUGUGCACCAGGUCCCGACGUUUGUGCACAAAAACUCCCAGUGCUAUCCAAAAAACAAAGUGGGGGUGGCCAUUGAAACGAGACGCCCUCUUUUUGGAAAAUUGAAAUUUUUAAUGUGCCAAACGUUUGUGCAUUGUUUGUACAGAAAUGUGCACCAGGUUCCGACGUUUUUGCACAAAAACUCCCAGUGCUAUCCAAAAAACAAAGUGAGGGGUAUUAACACGAGAGUCCCCCUUUUUUGAAAUUUGAAAUAUUUGUCAUAUUAAUAAAUGUUGUUUACGUACCUAAUAGGUUUAAUAGAAUUUUACUAUUGCCAUGUAAACGUAUGACAAAUAAAAUCUUCAAAUAUUUUUAAUUUAUCAAGAAAGCAUUAUCUUGUUCUAAUGUUUUUGAUUUCAAAAUUGUAUGAAUAAAUACAGUUUUUUCUUUAUGCAUUUCUUUACUUUAUAUUUUAUAUUAUAUUUUGCUGAUGAAAAUGUGUUUAUGGACAGGUACCUCAACUCGACGUUGCUGUAUGUCCGGUCCAAUAAUUUAAGUUAUAAGUCAUUGUGUAUAUUUUAAUACAAUAAAAGCAUAGUAAAAAAAUAAUUAAUAGACUAUAUUAAUAUAGUACCUACUUAAUUAAUUUAAUAUACCUAACCGUACCUAUAUACAUAUAAAAAUAUUAUAAUAAUAUAUUAUUUAUAUUUGAAUUCAUUAGAACAAUGGCGUAUCAGACGUCGCUCCCAAACCGGUCGACAUCCAUCUGCAUAACUCAUUCCGCAAGAAUGAGCGGUAUAGUUUGAAAACUUACCAAAGUUAUCUGGUGGAUGUCGAUACGUUGGUGAGCAGCCGUCGCACAUAGGUCUGAUGUACCUAUGGAAAGUUAUUAUUGGAUCGGUCAUAAUAUUACGUUGAGAAGUUAUCUGUCCAUAAACUUAUUUUCAGAUUUGUAGGCCAAUUCCGUUACCAUUUUUUAAUCAUUCUUUGUUUUUAUUAAGGUUGAGGUGUGACAGAAUUUUAGGGGCUAUUGUAAUUCCCACUUCCAGGACUUAAUCAUACAUACAGCCGACAGCCCGAUGACCUACAUUUUUGUGUAUUCUGGUCUACCCUAUGAUGGCCGCGAAGUAACGAUCACGUCACCGUUAAUCAGAUUGCCCAGUUUGAAAGAGUCUCCAACAAUUUCAUCGGAUAGGUACGCUAUAAACCGUGGCAUAGCGCUGGGCCAGCAUCAUUUUGUCCGGAUCAAUAUCUACAAAAAUGACGUCCCAAUUAUUAGAAGCUAAUAAUAUAGUGUCUUUGUCGAACAGUCAGCUGUACGAAGUUUCCGCUGUGCCACAAAACGGGUCGACGCCGGUCGCUGAACAUGGGAAGUCCUCAAGUCCACCAAGCAUCGUAUUGAUGAAUCAACAAUACAUCUUACAUCUUACAUCUAACAUCUUACAUCUUACAUCUAACAUUGCAAUCUUAUAAUUAUUCACCUGAAUGCAUGUAAUCCUGAAUGUACAGUUAAUUUAUUACUACCCAUCUACAAAGUCAACACUGUAUUAAUAAAAGUAUUU